UGAGAUGCUCGUAAGAGAUGUGGUCUCUUGGACCAAUAUCAUAUCUGGGUAUGUGAGGGCGGGUUGUUUGAUGAGGCUGUAACUUUGUUUUUGAGGAUGGACGUUGAGCCAAUAUCGCAACAUUUGUGAGUCUGUUAGUUGCUUUGAGGGAAAAACUGAAUUUGAGUGUGGGGAGGGGAAUUCAUGGUCUAGAUUUGGGGAAAGAGAUGAAGGGAUAAGGGAAAUGUUGAUGGUGAUGAGGGAGAGGCAUCUGCGGGUGGAUUUGGUGUGGUGUGGAGAUGAGUGAGAGUUGAGGGAAUUAACUAGGCGUCUGUAGGUGGAUUUAGUGUGGUCAGAUUUGAGUCAAGUUGAAACCCAGGAAGCUGAUG
rnacentral:misc_RNA from 1 species